rnacentral:rRNA from 1 species
AGGAAAAGAAACCAACAGGGAUUGCCUCAGUAACGGCGAGUGAAGCGGCAAAAGCUCAAAUUUUAAAGCUGGCACCUCCGGUGUCCGCGUUGUAAUUUUGUGAGGCAUCUCCGGGUGGGGCGCCGGCCUAAGUUCCUUGGAACAGGACGUCAUAGAGGGUGAGAAUCCCGUGCUUGGCUGGCUGUCCCCGUCCAUGUGAGGUGUCUUCGACGAGUCGAGUUGUUUGGGAAUGCAGCUCAAAAUGGGUGGUAAAUUUCAUCUAAAGCUAAAUAUUGGUGGGAGACCGAUAGCGCACAAGUAGAGUGAUCGAAAGAUGAAAAGCACUUUGAAAAUAGAGUUAAAAAGUACGUGAAAUUGUUGAAAGGGAAGCGCUUGAGACCAGACUUCGGUGGGGAGUGAUCAGCCGUCCUUCUGGGCGGUGCACUUGCCCCCCUCCGGGCCAGCAUCGGUUGGGACGGCGGGAUAAAGGUCCCGGGAAUGUGGCUCCUCUCGGGGAGUGUUAUAGCCCGGGUGAAUGCCGCCAGCCCCGACCGAGGACCGCGCCUUCGGGCUAGGAUGCUUGGCAUAAUGGUCUU